ACGCCAGUAGCUCAGUUGGUAGAGCAGUGGAUUCCAAAUCCACCGGUCAGGGGUUCGAGUCCUCUCUGGCGUG
rnacentral:tRNA from 1 species